rnacentral:rRNA from 1 species
AACGAACGCUGGCGGCAUGCUUAACACAUGCAAGUCGAACGGAAAGGCCCGGCUUUUGUGGGGUGCUCGACGUGCGACCGGGUGAGUAACACGUGAGUUACCUGCCCUUGACUUUGGGAUAACUUAAGACAACUGGGGCUAAUACCGGAUAGGAGCUCCUGCUGCAUGGUGGGGGUUGGAAGGUUUCGGCGGUUGGGGAUGGACUCGCGGCUCAUCAGCUUGUUGGUGGGGUAGUGUCUUACCAAGGCUUUGCGGGGUAGCCGGCCUGAGAGGGGGAGCGGACACACUGGGACUGAGAUACGGCACAGACUAGUACGGGAGGCAGGAGAGGGGAAGGUUGCACUAUGGGCGGAAGCCUGAUGCAGCAACGCCGCGCGCGGGAUGACGGCCUUGGGGUUGGAAACCGCUUUCGUUUGUGACGAAGCGUGAGUGACGGUAAUGGGUAAAGAAGCACCGGCUAACUACGUG